UACAGAGGUCCCGAGCGUUGUUCGGAUUCACUGGGCGUAAAGGGUGCGUAGGUGGCGAGGAAAGUCGGAUGUGAAAGCUCGGAGCUCAACUCCGAAAUGGCAUUGGAAACUACCUUGCUCGAGGGUUGGAGGGGGGACUGGAAUUCUCGGUGUAGCAGUGAAAUGCGUAGAUAUCGAGAUGAACACCAGUGGCGAAGGCGAGUCCCUGGACAACUCCUGACACUGAGGCACGAAAGCUAGGGGAGCAAACAGG
rnacentral:rRNA from 1 species